ensembl:misc_RNA Metazoa_SRP Metazoan signal recognition particle RNA
CUUUAAAAAAAAAAAAAGAAAUCUGCUGAAUUCAGAAAGCUGACGCAGGAGGAUUGCUUAAGUCCAGGAGUUCUGAGCUAUAACGCACUAUGCCAAUCAGGCAUCUGCACUAAAUUUGGCAUCAAUGUGGUGACCUCCUAGGAGCAGGGGACCGGACCAGGCCACUUGGUUGCCUAAGGAGGAGUGGACUGGCCCAGGUCAGAAAUGUAGCAAGCCAAAACUUCCAUGUUGAUCAGUACCAGGAUCACACCUGUGAAUAGCCACUGCACUUCAGCUGGAGCAACAUAGUGAGAUCCCAUCUCU